rnacentral:rRNA from 1 species
AAGUGUCUGACUUAUCAACUUUAGACGGUACAUUAUAUGUCUACCGUGGUUGUAACGAGUACAGAGAAUCAGGGUUUGGUUCUGGAGAGGCCGCCUGAGAAACGGCGACCACUUCCAAGGAAGGCAGCAGGCGCGCAAAUUACCCACUCUACAAAACGAGGAGGUAGUGAAGAGAAAUAACGAUGUUAGUCUUCUAUAGGCUGACAAUUCGGAAUGGGAACACUGUAAACAGGUUAUCGAUUAACAAUUGGAGGGCAAGUCUGGUGCCAGCAGCCGCGGUAAUUCCAGCUCCAAUAAGGAAAACUAAAGUUGCUGUGUUUUAAAAAGCUCGUAGUUGAAUUUCGGGUAUUUUGUUGCUAGCUGGUCUCAUUGGCCAUGUUGGUUAACAGAUCCUCAUCUGCUGGACGUCUGGCGAUGAUCUUUUAUCGGUUGUCGUCAGUUGCCAGCACGUUUACUUUGAGAAAA